GUAUUAUUUCUGGCAUAUCUGUAAGUGUAGCCCAGUAUUUAAUAAGUUGGCCCCCAUCAUCCAUUGGUGGCCUUUGGAUUCUAAGACAAAUCUGGACCUGAUGUGAAGUCAUUACAGUCAGGGACUGUUUUAGGUUUCG